CCCUGUAGCUCAGUUGGUAGAGCAUGGUGUUUGCAACACCAGGGUUGUGGGUUUGAUUCCCACAGGGG
rfam:Salmo salar isolate Sally breed double haploid chromosome ssa22, whole genome shotgun sequence.